AGCGAACGCUGGCGGCAGGCCUAACACAUGCAAGUCGAACGAACCUUUCGGGGUUAGUGGCGGACGGGUGAGUAACACGUGGGAACGUGCCUUUAGGUUCGGAAUAACUCAGGGAACUUGUGCUAAUACCGAAUGUGCCCUUCGGGGGAAAGAUUUAUCGCCUUUAGAGCGGCCCGCGUCUGAUUAGCUAGUUGGUUGAGGUAAUGGCUCACCAAGGCGACGAUCAGUAGCUGGUCUGAGAGGAUGAUCAGCCACAUUGGGACUGAGACACGGCCCAAACUCCUACGGGAGGCAGCAGUGGGGAAUCUUGCGCAAUGGGCGAAAGCCUGACGCAGCCAUGCCGCGUGAAUGAUGAAGGUCUUAGGAUUGUAAAAUUCUUUCACCGGGGACGAUAAUGACGGUACCCGGAGAAGAAGCCCCGGCUAACUUCGUG
rnacentral:rRNA from 1 species